UUCUCAAUACAACAGCUCUGAUCUCCUCCUUCUUCCCCCUUCUUCGUAUUCUCAACACUCUUCAACUCUCAACAAAGUGUAACGUGUUCUCCCUCAUUCUAAAAGGUUGCUAUUUAUUAACCUUCUUCUAACCUCGGGCCAGGCCGGGAUUGGGCCGAACAGAUAUGGGGAUGUUCCCUGGCCGCUCUAGCGGACCAGGGGUAUCAUCAGUAUAUACUCCCUCGACGGUCCUUGUUCGUUGAUGCUCUUGUUGGGUCAGUCCAAAGAGCCAAGGGUAUCAUCAGUACCCUCUUCCCACUUCUUGGAGCCUAUAAAUACAUUGAUGUCUCCUCUUUUUUCUUCAUAACCGAACUAAUCAUGCAUUCUUCUGCAGGUCCUCGAUGAGUUGAGGCGUGAGUUGGUGCACCGGUAGGCUGUCUGGUCGUAAUGUUUGAUCCUCUCUGAAUUCGAUCUUAGGGCUCUUAUCGCUAUUGAGAGUGACCGGUUGAAUGCUUUACAACUUAUAGUGUACCAUCGUUUGGCUUCCUUUCAUCAGGUUGACACAGAUUCGAUCGCGUUGGGGAUUGUCACUCAAGUUGUUGUGCCUUCCUCUCGGGUUGUGGCCCCUUCUCCUUGUGGCCGAGCUUCUGUCCCACAAGGUGAAUCUUCCGACUCUACUGCUCCUUCUGUUGUUUCCCUUUCGCUGCCCUCAUAACACCGUCGGGGUCGUCGACACCGACCACAUCGUGCGUUGUCUGAACGGUCAGUCAUUGACCUCCGCCACUACAUAUCGUGUGGGGCCACUUGAUAGCCUUCCCAGUCUUCUCAUAGGGAACCCCUCCGCGAGCUUCUCCGUUUGUAAUCUUACUUUUAUUUUCUUAGAGUCUUUGUUUUCGACUCACCCCCGCUGUAAUAGCUUAUUUUCUAAUGCAACUCCGUUAUUUGUUUUCGACUCCUAGAACCUAUCCCCUCGUGCUCUUUGCUUUUGCUCUUCCGGGGAUCAGAUCGAUCGGUUCUUCUAGAUCCUAUCUCUCGGGCCUACUUGAUUUUGCUGUGGGAUUUGGACGGCUCCUGGACCUAUCCCCUCGUGUUCUAUCUUUUCUCCCUAUGAUUUGGAGAGUCUGAGCAGUUGUCAUAACCUAUUUCCAUCGAGAAGGACUUAUUUCUUCCCUACAACAUGAAGAAUCCGAGUUGUUCCUGGAAUCUAUCUCUGGGUGAUCGAGCGGGACUUAUUUCUUAUUCGGGGAUCCAAGCGGUCUGUGGGCCUAUCCCCUGGUCGUAAAUUGGAUCGACCUGUUUUCCUUGUUUUUUUGGACGUUUCACGCUAUGUUUUAGUUAUCCAAAGUGGCUCCUUGUUUUAUUUCGAUAUUGAAAAAACAAGUAUGUACGAAGCCCCCUUUUAUAUAGCUUACUAGUUACUGUCGAUCGGUACUUGGAAAAGGUGUCUGUAUGCCAAGUCCUUUCCAUUAGUUGUCCGUACUCGAACAUCAGUUGAAAUACACAUGGGUCGGACCUCCUCUUUUAUGAUGUACGGGGAGGUCCCCUACGGUCAAAUCCUUUUUCGAUACCUUCGUGUUGUGGUACCGGCCGGGCGGUCCUCCGCUUGUACGGUUAGCAUGGUCGUAUCGUUCUCUUCCGGGAUGUAUCCUAAGAUCUGAUUCAGUAGUCGACCAUACGAGUUCGGAAGAGGACACUGCACUGAUUUUGAAUGCUAAUGUGAACUGCGCGUAUCUGGUUGGGAUCUAUAAUGUGGUGCGGUAGGUCCACAUUAUUUCCGGGAUUAAGUUGGCCCAUGUACCCGGGUUUUCUCUGACUUUUCGCUUUAGAAUUGUCGUUAUUUUACGAUUUGUUACCUCCACCUGGUCAUUGGACUGGGGAUGAUAUACGGAGGUUAAAGUUAGCUUUAUUCCACUCUCUUUGAAAAACAUUUUGAAUUUUUUGCCUGCGAACUGCGUCCUAUUAUCGGCUAUUAUUUGCAUCGGGACU
rnacentral:lncRNA from 1 species